GCUUGAGCGGAGGGAAAUAUGCAACCUUGUGACCCUGACUCAGAAUAGCCAAACUCCAUCUGCUCUGAAACUUUAAAUGGACUUUAUCCAAGUAAAGCUCAAAAACUGCAGCUACAGAAACUCAUAAAACCAGAGAAGAAGAAUGAACAGGUACUACAGCUUACAGCACAUUCAGCACACAAUCACUGCCUGAUAGAAUCUUUCACAGCAAAAUUUGUUAUGAUUCAUGUGCUGGUAUUUGUUGCAAGGAAUUCUUAUGACAGAUACAUUUAAAAACAUCAAUGAAAAAUACCACUGAUUCCUCCUUAAACAAACUGAUUCAUUCCAAGUAAAUGUCAGUACUCCUGAAGCCAUGUGUUUAUAGCCACAUUGGAGUAUGCCUGAAAUCUCACUGACAUUUCUCCCCCUGUAAUAUCAAUAUAAUGCUUCUUUCACAUCCUGAAUAACUGGUUUAAAACAGAAAAACACUAAAGGACCACUAAGUUGCAUAGGAAAUACUACUAACAUUCAUGAUUCUGCAGUUUAUGUUUGGUUCAACAAUUUGUCAUUUCUUACUCUGAUAGCUGUCAACUUUGUGCAUCUUGUUGAUUUCUUUGAAUCUACCAAUCUACC
rnacentral:lncRNA from 1 species